CAGGCAAACUGUUUGGGCAACGCGGAGCUUUCAGGUUCCCAAUCCACUGCGUCACUCCCAGGGGAGAUGCGUGGCUCAGGCACGCUGCAGGCCAUGCGAUAAGUGCCGCCCACAUUUUCUCACACACACACACCCCAGUGGUGACACCCAGGACGGACCGCACCCACCGCACCCCCCCCCCUUUCUCCAGACCUGCCUCCAGCCCCAGGCAGCCUGCUUGCUCUACUCCAACAGAGCACAUGUGUAGCCGUGUGGGCUACAGGAGCAUCGCUUUUUCUUAAAAGCCAACAUCCCAACAUGGAGCUCUUUUGGAAGGGAUGGGAGAGUUGGGCGCAUUGAAUCUAGUCCUUCCUCACUCUCAGGCAGCUCAUUAGAACGAUCCCAGGCUUUUUAAAGGGCCGGUGUGCUUUUAGCCCUUGUUCCCGGCUCAGACUGUAGACUCUCCUUCAUCAGAGGAGAUUUUAAAGCAGAGGUUGGAUGGCCAUCAGUCGGGGAUUCUUUAGCUGUGAUUCCUUCAUUACAGGGGGUUGGUUUGGAUGACCCCGUGGGGUCCCUCCCAGCGCUCUUAUGAAAACACAAGAAUUGGAUUCGUUUGCAUUAUUAAACUUUUCUGUCCAUGCCCUUUUAUUUUUCUUGUUACUAGCAGGAGGAUGGAAGCCUCCCAUCAUCAGGUGCGAAUGUUCGACACCAGCAUCAAAGUUUCAAGGCUGCAUUACACACCAUGCAUUUAUAAAGCACACAACUUCCCCCAAAGCAGCCUUGGAACUGAAGUUAAGGGUGCUGGGAUUCCCAGCAUUCUUUCGAUGGGUUGGAGGAUGUGCUUUAAAUGUAUGGCAUGCGUAACAGCCCGAGUUGAGAGUGUUUUGGAAGGCGAAAAUCCCGAGAGACGGUGAGAGAGAGAUGGGAAUAAUACUGUCUCCUUAUGCGUCCUGUCCACAAAAGAAUGAGGCACGUUGUUAAUUCUGCUGUACAAGAUUGUAUUCUGUAUAUAAAUAUAUAUAUAUAUAAAUAUAUAUAUAUGAUUUCAUGUAAAUAAUGGGGGAAAUCUAUAUUCAGAGUUCUAUUUUAAUUUUUAUUCAAAAACGGAGCAAAAGAAAACUUUUUACUCGAAGCGUUGUAAACCAGAUUUGUUGUUAAUAAAGUCAUUCAAAAGGA